ensembl:lncRNA
CCAACGAUGGAGCGGCCCAGCCAAGCUGAGACGGAGAGGAAGCCUGUGGGACACCAUGCACGUUUUCAGAGCUCCUUCAGCUCUUUCAAGUUCAACUUCAGUUCCAUCAGCUUGGUGGACGAGAUUCUAACAGGAGAUGAGUGGUCACCAUUCCUGUCUAUAAGGGACAGUCCAGCCCCCUCACUGUCCGUUUUCCAAUCAGAGGCUGCUAGCCAACACGGUUAUGAUGAAGGCGACCAAUUAAAGACUGGACCAGAGUUGCGCCUUCCCAACGACGUUCAACAUAACCACGAGGACAUAGGCCUUUCUUUAUACGAGGCUGUCAGCUUCAGCCAAUCAAGUCCGAAUGAGAUUGUGGACAACCAAUCGGACAACAGACAACAGGAAGUAGACAACAACAAUGACACAGGAGCUGACGCCAUUGCUGUCAUCAAACCGAAGAUAUUAUUGGAAAAUGAUGCAGCGGAGGAGAGGCUCCAUCUGAAUUCACCCACCGACAUUCCUCCAAGUCAUGUGCCUCGUGUCCAAGUCAUGUGCCUCGUGUCCAAGUCAUGUGCCUCGUGUCCAAGUCAUGUGACUCGUGUCCAAGUCAUGUGACUCGUGUCCAAGUCAUGUGACUCGUGUCCAAGUCAUGUGACUCGUGUCCAAGUCAUGUGACUCGUGUCCACACCUCUGAUACUUUUUAUGAAGCAGCAAUGGGUCCCCUGGUCAAAAAUAUUGCACUAUAAAGGAUAGGGUGCCAUUUCACACUCACCCUGCUCCUCUCUCUAAUGAUCCCAACCCACAGAUCUCCCACUGUGAAACCAAACCACAGAGAGAUGUG